rnacentral:rRNA from 1 species
GACGAACGCUGGCGGCGUGCUUAACACAUGCAAGUCGAACGGAAAGGCCCUGCUUUUGUGGGGUGCUCGAGUGGCGAACGGGUGAGUAACACGUGAGUAACCUGCCCUUGACUUUGGGAUAACUUCAGGAAACUGGGGCUAAUACCGGAUAGGAGCUCCUGCUGCAUGGUGGGGGUUGGAAAGUUUCGGCGGUUGGGGAUGGACUCGCGGCUUAUCAGCUUGUUGGUGGGGUAGUGGCUUACCAAGGCUUUGACGGGUAGCCGGCCUGAGAGGGUGACCGGCCACAUUGGGACUGAGAUACGGCCCAGACUCCUACGGGAGGCAGCAGUGGGGAAUAUUGCAAGAUGGGCGGAAGCCUGAUGCAGCAACGCCGCGUGCGGGAUGACGGCCUUCGGGUUGUAAACCGCUUUCGCCUGUGACGAAGCGUGAGUGACGGUAAUGGGUAAAGAAGCACCGGCUAACUACGUG